AAACCAUGAUUCGGAGACUUUUGCAAAUAUUCCUUGAAUCUCUCCCAAGCUUCAAAUAGUUGUUCCCCCGGAAGCUGUUUGAAGUCAUAUAUCUUGUCAUGAAUCU